rnacentral:rRNA from 1 species
UACAGAGGGUGCAAGCGUUGUUCGGAAUUAUUGGGCGUAAAGCGCGUGUAGGCGGCUUUGCAAGUCGGGUGUGAAAGCCCUCAGCUCAACUGAGGAAGUGCGCCCGAAACUGCGGAGCUUGAGUACCGGAGAGGAUGGCGGAAGUCCCCAAGUAGAGGUGAAAUUCGUAGAUAUGGGGAGGAACACCGGUGGCGAAGGCGGCCAUCUGGACGGAUACUGACGCUGAGACGCGAAAGCCAGGGGAGCAAACGGG